UCACAGACACCUGUUCCUGCGGGGCUGCUGUCCCCGAGAGCUUCAGCGGCGUCCUCGCUGGCGCGUCCCCUCGCGAGGGCCUCACCCGCGCACGCAGGACCCCACGCAGCAGACGAAACAAGGUCGUCUGGCUCCACAGCCGUGGUCCUUGGUCCCGAGAUCGCUUGGUCGGCGGCGCACGGCCCACGGCGGGGGCGGCUCAGUUUCUUUUGAACUGUGGAAAAUAUCGGCCCUGUAAGAGAAUAGUUCUGAAGGGAAAACUGAAAACAGCUUAAAUUUCUCUCUGUCAAGUUUUUUCCGGUUAGGAACGGUGCCACAUAGGGCUCCGCUGAUGAAAGAGCCCUCGGGAUGUGCUUAGAAAGCAGGAACGCGGAGCCCCAGGAAGGAAACCACACGUGCGGUUUCCCAGUGCGGCAUUAGGCGGGGAAGAAUCAACUUUUUGAGAUACCCUCCAUACCCCUGUCCUUGUUAAACACAAUAUGGACUAAAAGACAGCAAGGAAGCAACGACAACAAAAAACGACGUUGGAUUUGGGAAUCCAUCCAACUUAAAAUCAGAUGCUGCUCUGCAUACCACAAAUGCAAGAUCCAAAGAGUGCAGUAUUUAGAGCAAAAUGUACCAGCGUUUGGGAGCUGCAAUGUCACUGCGGCUUACCUGAUUAUUUCCCUUUCCACCCUGCCUCACCAAUAUCGCCAAUAAAACCCGUUCUGAAGUGAUUAAAAGCUAAUGUUCUGAGCAUUUAGUAACAUCCCGUGACUAACGAGGUUCUCCACUAUAUCACAAAAGCAGAAGGCAGAGAGCACUAAACUGUAUGGUUUUCAAUAAAGGUAAUGUUUGCUCACAGAAGUUUAUUCUGAGUUUGAGCAUAUGCUAUUUAAGAGGGGAUCUGAGAACAAAAUAUAUAAUGACAAGACCACUCUGAAAGCAAUUGGGCAACAUAUAGAGAAGGGACAUAAUGAAGCAGAUGGCAUGACAGUCCAGAGCUAUGGGAGAGCCCAAGAGUAUCCCUGGGUCUCACUUACUGUUACAUCACCCAAACCCAGUAUGUUUAGCACAUAGCAUUUUUUGAAUGGAUAAAAAAGAAAUAAAAUUUCUAAAUCAAGGUUUAACUGGA